UACGGAGGGUGCGAGCGUUGUCCGGAAUCAUUGGGCGUAAAGGGCGCGUAGGUGGCGGGACAAGCGUGCGGUGAAAGCUCGGGGCUCAACCCCGCGUCGGCCGUGCGAACUGUUUUGCUUGAGCACUGUAGAGGCAGGCGGAAUUCCGGGUGUAGCGGUGGAAUGCGUAGAGAUCCGGAAGAACACCGGUGGCGAAGGCGGCAUCCUGGACCGGCAUUGACGCUGAGGAGCGAAAGCCAGG
rnacentral:rRNA from 1 species